UACGUAGGGGGCAAGCGUUGUCCGGAAUCACUGGGCGUAAAGCGUCUGUAGGUGGUCAAAUAAGUCAACUGUUAAAUCUUGAGGCUCAACCUCAAAAUCGCAGUCGAAACUAUUCGACUAGAGUAUAGUAGGGGUAAAGGGAAUUUCCAGUGGAGCGGUGAAAUGCGUAGAGAUUGGAAAGAACACCGAUGGCGAAGGCACUUUACUGGGCUAUUACUAACACUGAGAGACGAAAGCUAGGGUAGCAAAUGGG
rnacentral:rRNA from 1 species